ensembl:misc_RNA Metazoa_SRP Metazoan signal recognition particle RNA
GCCGGGCAUGGAGGCGUGUGCCUGUAAUCCCAGCUACUCGGGAGGCUGAGGCUGGAGAAUCGCUUGAACCCAGGAGGCGGAAGUUGCAGUAAGCCAAGAUCACGCCACUGCACUCCAGCCUGGGUGAGAGAGUGAGACCCCGUCUCAA